AUCUGGUUGGCUCAGUCGGUUAAGUGUCUGACUUCAGCUCAGGUCAUAUCUCACGGUUCGUGGGUUCGAGCCCUGCAUCAGGCU
rnacentral:tRNA from 1 species